rnacentral:rRNA from 1 species
CCAGUUUUGACCUCCAGAGAACUUUCUAGAAAUGGUUUGGUUCCUUUGGGGACUUUUGAAACCGGUUCGGCUCGGUCUUUGUCCGCUUGUGGUGGGAAAAUGUGGGGUAAGUCCCGGAAGGAGGGGAACCCUUAUCCUUUUUUGCCCCUCCUUCGGUUGGGAACUCAAAGGAGACUGCCCGGUGAUAAGCCGGAGGAAGGUGGGGAGGACGUCAAGUCAUCAUGGCCCUUACGGGUAGGGCUACACACGUGCUACAAUGGCAGGUACAGAGGGCAGCGAAGCGGCGACGUGGAGCUAAUCCCAGAAAGCCUGCCUCAGUCCGGAUUGGAGUCUGCAACUCGACUCCAUGAAGUCGGAAUCGCUAGUAAUCG